UACAGAGGGUGCGAGCGUUGUUCGGAAUUAUUGGGCGUAAAGCGCUGGUAGGUGGCUUGUUAAGUCGCGUGUGAAAUCUCCCAGGCUCAACCUGGAAAGUGCGCGCGAAACUGGGCAAGCUUGAGUGCCGGAGAGGGUCGCGGAAUUCCCAGUGUAGAGGUGAAAUUCGUAGAUAUUGGGAGGAACACCAGAGGCGAAGGCGGCGACCUGGAAGGUAACUGACGACUGAGCAGCGAAAAGC
rnacentral:rRNA from 1 species